GGAUCAACCACCUUUACCAAGAUCGUCAACAAAUGGAAUACAGCUCUAAUUGGCCUCAUGACUUACUUCCGUGAAGCCACUGUACACACACAAGAGCUCUUGGAUCUACUGGUCAAGUGUGAGAAUAAAAUCCAAACAAGAAUAAAGAUCGGGUUGAACUCAAAGAUGCCUAGUCGAUUUCCUCCUGUUAUCUUCUACACUCCAAAGGAAAU